rnacentral:rRNA from 5 species
CUUUAUUGGAGAGUUUGAUCCUGGCUCAGGACGAACGCUGGCGGCAUGCCUAAUACAUGCAAGUCGAGCGGACUUGAAGAGAAGCUUGCUUCUC